rnacentral:tRNA from 1 species
GGAGGGGUGGCCGAGCGGUUUAAGGCGACGGUCUUGAAAACCGUUGACCGUUCACGCGGUCCGGGAGUUCGAAUCUCCCCCCCUCCG